rnacentral:lncRNA from 1 species
AGGUGGAUCUCUUGAGUUCUGAGUUCGAGGCCAGCCUGGUCUACAAAGUGAGUUCCAGGACAGCCAGGGCAAUACAGAGAAACCCUGUCUUGAAAAAAAACAAAAAAACAAAAAAACAAAACAAAAAAAAAAAAAAAAACUCCUUCAGAAGAGCAAUUGGGUGCUCUUACCGGCUGAGCCAUCUCACCAGCCCUUCUUAAAUCUUCUUAGACAAAUAUUUCUUUAGAUAAUUAACUCAGAGAUAAAAUGUUGUGGGUGGGCCUGGUGCUGUUUGUAUGCUAAUUCCACUCUCCUGGGAGGGGUUUUGGACAAGGAGUGAGUCACAUGUACACAGAUGGCUUCUUGUGAACCAAUCCCCUAAUGAAUAAAGGAGCCAAUUACUGGGCGAGUAGGAGGGACUUCUGGGUUAGCAGGAGGAAGCAGGAGAAAGUUAGGCCUUUUUGGAAUGGGGAAGGCAUGAGACUAAGUUGUAGCUGCUAGAGUUUCCCAGAAUCAUGGCUGAUCCACAAGGAUUUGCCACUGGAGGAAUCAGAUUUUAAUAAGAUUUACAAGAUUAGGAUUUAGUUGUUGCGCCCAGAGAUUGAGUUACCGUCGUUUCUGAACUAAGUUUGUGUUGCGUUUUCCUUCAUGUGGUGGCUUGUUUGGGUUCAAAAGAGAAAGGCCGACCAGCAGCUCCCGAGGAACGGUACAACUGAGAUGGCAGCUCGAGGUGAAAGAGAGGAACUAGACAGACGGAAGAAAGAACGGAGCCAAGUCAAAGUGGACUCUGAUCAAAGCUCAAUUUUACUAUUCCAACACGCAGUUAUGAAGGAGGGGAAGGGGGGGCCGAUUCCCGCCAAAUAAUCCUGGAGUCCAGUAGCAGGGUGACCACGUGUAUGGCUCCAGAACAGCAAAGCAGCAGGUUCCAGCAGUGGGCGUGGCAGAACGAUUGAGGGGCAAGCUCCAUCCAGAUGUAAACAGUGGAACCAUUAAGGCUGGGGGAGGGAAGGCUACAGGUUCAGAUACCAUAAAUGCAUAGAGGCCAUAAAUUCUGAUCCAGUAGUGCUGGAGUAAACAGACAGUUGUGAAUCACCCAACAUGGGUGCUGGGGAUUUAACUCAAAUGACCUGGAAGAGCAAACUCUUAACUGCUGAGAGCUCUCUCCAGGGCCAAUAAGAAUUAGUUUUGAACUACAUAUCCAACUCUACCACGUCCAGGUCUCAUGUGAACAUUGAAAAUACUUAGCCAGGCGUGGUGGCGCACACCUUUAAUCCCAGCACUUGGGAGGCAGAGGCAGGUGGAUUUCUGAGUUCAAGGCCAGCCUGGUGUACAAAGUGAGUUUAGGAUAGCCAGGGCUACACAGAGAAACCCUGUCUCAAAAAACCAAAAAACAAAAAAAACAAAAAAAAAGUAUCUUUAAAGAAAAUAAGAUCGAAAACAUGAAUGGAAACAGCUGCAUAAAAUAAAGAAGAUUAUGCAAGAUAUAAAAAAACACUAAACAAAGAUGGAAAUUGAAAAAAAUCAAUCUGAGAUGCUGAAAUGAAAAGUUGAAAAGAAAUCUCUGUGGAAAGGACAGAAUAAAUGAUCUUGAAAAGGGAACAAUCAAAGACAGAUAGAAAAAUAAGAAAGUCCCUGUAUUGGUCAGGGUUCUCUAGAGGAAUGGAACAGAUUUUAUGUAUAUAACCUAUCAUAUCUAUAUACAUAUAUAAGUCUAUCUAUCUAUAUUUAUAAUUUAAAAUAGCUUUUAAGCUGUUGUCUGGCUCUUUCUACAAUGGCUAGAAAGUCCAAGAAUCUGAUAGUUGUUCAGUCCAUGAGGCUGAAUAUCUCAACUUGAUUUCUGUCUAUGUUAGAAUCCUGAAGAAGGCUCUAACAUCAGUGAAGGAACGUGUCAGCAGCAGUGUGGAUGAGUUUGUCAUCAUGAGUGAGGCCAAGCAGGCAAAAAGCUUCAAUCUUCCAUGUCCCUUUAUGUGGACUGCCACCUGAAAGUGUGACACAGACUUAGGGUGGGUCUUCUGAGCACAAUUGAUACAGAUUUAGGGUGGGUUUUCCCACCUCCCAUAAUCCAAUUAGGAAAAUCCCCAAAGGUGUGCUCAGAUGUUUGGAUCUAGUUGGUUCCAGACAAGUUAACCAAGAAUAGCAUCAUAAGUACACACCCUGCCAAUUGGAUGCACAAUCACAACUUCUUCUUCUUUUUGUUUGUUUUUUUUCGAGACAGGGUUUCUCUGUAUAGUCCUGGCUGUCCUAGAACUCAUUUUUGUAGACCAGGCUGGCCUCAAACUCAGAAAUCUGCCUGCCUUUGCCUCCGAGUGCUGGGACAAUCACAACUUCUUAUGUCAGGCUUAAUUUCCAAAGUCAACUUCUCACCUCCACAGGCUCAUGCACAGGCAAGUGUGUCUGCACAUACACACUUACUGAGUCCACUGUAAGAGGACAGUAGACUAGGCAAUGAAAGUAUUGCCCUAAAGUAAAAGCCAUUCUUACCUGCUCCCUCCCCUGAAAGACCACAUCAGGAAAACCAGCCCUGUGAACUUAUCAGACACAUUAGACCGAGGAGAGAGAAAAAACCAUAUAUACAACAUGGAGUAAUUUAGGACAGUGCACAACCUGAUCUCACACCUUCAAGUGCCACUAGCAUUUGCAAGUGUUGUGCAAUGACUAGAAAGAACUGUAAAAGGAGAAAGGUGGCACCUACAUUCCUGGAAAGAACAAAUCACACAUUCCAGAGCACACACUAGGAUUCAACCCCAUUAGCCUACUCCUUCCCCUCAGUUCUUUAACUGUAUGUCUAUAACCCAAAAGGGCUCAAAGUUGGUUUGCAAACUUAUCCCCAAUUUCUCCUCUUUUUCUCCCUCUCUUCCUCUUCUUUCCUUCCUUCCUUGCUUUUUUUGAGGCAAGGUCUCACUAUGUUGCUCUGGCUAGCCUUGAAUUUUCUAUAUAGAUCAGGUGUUGAGACCAGGCUGUUUCCUGUUCUAAAUUACUUGAUAGAGUAUAGCUUGUUUUUCAGACUACUUUGACUUAAGAAACUCCCUUCUACACGCAAAUUUUGAUUCUAUUUGAGGAUAGUACCAUUUGCUUACCCUUAUAACACAGACAAACUGUUUAUUCCCAGGAGUAGAAAGGAUAACAAACUAUAAAUUUACUGCUGUUCAUUUGGGGCUGUAAGGACACAUGGCCAUAUUUAAAAUCAUGUCAGGAAAAACAAGAUCUGAGAACUUACUGGACACAUCAGACCAAGGGCUCUAACUCCCUCACCUGAAUCCUAUAAAGAAGUAGAUGAUACCUAGUACCACAAUGACAAUGGCCCCCCAAACCUGUUAUCAGAGCACCUAGUGUGUGCAUUCAGAAUCAACAGACAGAACACUCAACUGCCGCAGGAGGUUUCAGCUCAGGGUUGUUGAUUCAAACUUCUUGGAUUGCUGUGUCCGUGUCCUCCUGUCUGCCUGCCUAGGCCUGCAUCCAUCUGUAUGCCUGUUCACUGAUUUUGACCCAACCCUGCCUUUGGAUCAUCUCCAGGUUGCAGCCCUACUCUUGCCAUGUAGCUUGACUAUGCACCUCUAGCUGAGCCAGAUCUGUUACCAAUACAGAGACUGCUGCACUCUGAAAGGACCUGAGUCUGCACAACACGCUCCGAGAUCAAGUUCUCAGCACAAAGGAGAUGUAUUUGCCCCAUAUGGACAAAGGGUAGGGAACAAGAGACAAAGACUGGAUACAGAAAAUGAGGGAGAAGGGAAAAGAAACAAGGGGGUGGGAGGAAGGGAGAUUUGCCCCAAGGGAUGAAGGAUUGCCUCUGGAUAGAGAGAAGACAGAUGUGGCCCAUAAGCAAAAGGAGGUUUAUAAAGAAAAAAGAGGAAAAAAGGUGUUUAAUUUUAAUUGGGCAAUGUUAAUUAGGUGAGCCAAUGGGAGCUUUUUACUGCUGGACUUCAAAAAUUAAAUAGUUGGACCUUAGUGGACAGCCUCAGGAGGAGGAAGUGGCUAAGUAAGGAGUUAGACUUUGGUGGCUAGAUUUAGGAAUGGUUUUCAGCAAGGUGGAAGGGGAAGGACAAGGCCUGCUAUAAUCGCCUUGCUGGGGCCUGCUAGAGCCUUUUGCUUUGAUUUCUCAGGCUUCUUUGAAAGUCUUUUCACCAAGCCAGCUCAGUUAGUCAACUGGUUCUCCAGGGAGAGAGCAAGGAUUAGAAAGAAAAAACAAACAAACAAACAAACAAAACCAAUUAGACACCACUGUAGCAUGACACCAGCCAGUUUUGAGGAUGAAGCAGGUUUUUGUUUUGUUUUGUUUUUAAUUAUUUUUGUUUUUUGUUUUGUUUUUCAAGACAGGGUUUCUCUGUAUAGCCCUGGCUGUCCUGGAACUCUGUAGACCAGGCUGGCCUCGAACUCAGAGAUCUGCCUGUCUCUGCUUUCCAAGUGCUUAAAGGCAUGUGCCACCACAUCCCAGCUGAAGCAGGUGUAUUUUUUCCCAGUCUGCUUUUAUACCAUUUUAAUUACAUGCAAAUAAUAAGGUCUGUUUUAGGUUAAGGAACAAACUAGGCAAUAAAGUCCUGUGAUCACAGUUUCUUGGGGCUUAUUUGGAAGUCCAAGAUAAAAGAAAUGUGGUAUUCCUUGUCCCUCCAGGUACUUUGAGCUUCGAAUUAGCCCAAAUGUAAACAUUCUUAUCUGAGCCUCCCUCCCUGUCCUAGCCCCAAGUCACAUUCCUGCCCGAGCUUACUUCCUUAUCCUGGCCCAAUGUCAAAUUCCUGCCAAGUUUCUAGAAGCCCCCUGUCUGUGUUAGGGUUUUACUGCUGUGAACAGACACCAUGACCAAGGCAAGUCUUAAUAAAACAACAUUUAAUUGGGGCUGGCUUACAGAUUCAGAGGUUCAGUCCAUUAUCAAGGUGGGAGCAUGGCAGUAUCCAGGCAGGCAUGGCACAGGUAGAGCUGAGAGUUCUAUGUCUUCAUCCAAAGGCGGCUAGUGGAAGACUGACUUCCAGGCAACUAGGGUAAGGGUCUUAUGCCCACACCCACAGUGACACACCCAUUCUGACCAGGUCACACCUAUUCCAACAAGGCCACACCUCCAGAUGGUGCUACUCCCUGGUCCAAGGAUAUACAAACCAUCACACCCCCAAAGCUCUCCAUAGUCUUUGAUACUGUUACCACCUUAAUGAAUGAGCCAUAUCUGUAGUCUGUCUGUCUGUCUGUUCAGCCAUCAUCCUUCCACCCAUCCAUCUACACAUCUAAUAAUAUAUAAUGAACAAUUCAUGACCUGAGUUAAUAUUAGUAAUUAUGAUUAGAAUAAAAAAUUGUGUUUGAGUUGGUUAGGGCUAUCAAGGAGUGGAAAUUACUUGUAAUUGCUGCCACUGAAAUCACUAUACCUUGUGAACUUGUUCUUUAAUAAAUUCUGACAAUGCGGAAAGACACAAACAUAUUUAUCCCUGUUUCUGACAUAACACACUUAAUGUUAGGCUGGGUUAAACCGUAGCUUAAGCCCUACUGCUCUGCCUCCCAAGUAUCAGGUUUUACAGGUGGGUGCUAUCAAGCCAGUUUGUUUAAUUAAUUAAUUUAGUGCAGGCUGUCCUAGAACUCACUAUGUAGACCAGACUGGCCUGAACUCACA